rnacentral:rRNA from 1 species
AUUGAACGCUGGCGGAAUGCUUUACACAUGCAAGUCGAGCGGCAGCGCGGGGGCAACCCUGGCGGCGAGCGGCGAACGGGUGAGUAAUACAUCGGAACGUGUCCUUAAGUGGGGGAUAGCUCGGCGAAAGCCGGAUUAAUACCGCAUAAGCUCUGAGGAGGAAAGCGGGGGAUUCGCAAGGACCUCGCGCUGUUGGAGCGGCCGAUGUCGGAUUAGCUAGUUGGUGGGGAAAGGCCCACCAAGGCGACGAUCCGUAGCUGGCCUGAGAGGAUGAUCAGCCACACUGGAACUGAGACACGGUCCAGACUCCUACGGGAGGCAGCAGUGGGGAAUUUGGACAAUGGGGGCAACCCUGAUCCAGCCAUUCCGCGUG